rnacentral:rRNA from 1 species
UUCUUCGGACAGAGGAGACAGGUGGUGCAUGGUUGUCGUCAGCUCGUGUCGUGAGAUGUUGGGUUAAGUCCCGCAACGAGCGCAACCCCUACGUUUAGUUGCUAACGCGUGAAGGCGAGCACUCUAGACGAACUGCCGUUGACAAAACGGAGGAAGGUGGGGAUGACGUCAAAUCAUCAUGCCCCUUAUGUUCUGGGCUACACACGUGCUACAAUGGCCGGUACAGACGGACGCAAAGCCGCGAGGUGGAGCAAAUCCUAAAAAGCCGGUCUCAGUUCGGAUUGCAGGCUGCAAUUCGCCUGCAUGAAGUUGGAAUCGCUAGUAAUCGUGGAUCAGCCAAGCCGCGGUGAAUACGUUCCCGGGCCUU